GUCAGCGGCGAUAGCGGGUUGAAUGCUUCAGUUCCUGUUGGAUCACUCAAGUUAAACAACCUUGGAGUGGUUGGUAUCUGAAUGGGUGACCAUCAGGGCGAUCGCGUGCUGCUGGCU
rnacentral:rRNA from 1 species